CUGAGCGCCGUCUUGUCGCUGGCCGCCGCCGUG
rnacentral:sRNA from 1 species